AGUUGAGUCUUGGUUCACCAAUCUACUAGGCUUUGAAUUUCAUGGUUAAUGUUUUGUUUUAAGUGCAUGCAAGCAUGAUUCCGCCUUUUAAUUGUUAAUUGCAUGCUAUAGAUGUUGCUUAAAUGAACAUGUUUUCACAAAAUUAUCCUUCAAGUGGUAUCAGAGCCUAGGUCUAGUAGUUGGUGAAUCCUUUUGGGUUUUGUAUUAUCAUAGUUUAUGAUUUGAAUGUUGUAAUUGUUACAAGCUUUAUUCUUGCUUCUUUGAAUGUAAAUUUUGUUAGAAAAUUUGCCAUCUCAAAUGUUGUAGAUGUAGUUCAUAUGAGCAUGAAUAUUGGAGCUAAAAUUUGGUGCAAUGUUUUUGGGAAAAUUCGGCCAAAUCCAAAGGGUGGUUUUUUGGGUUCUUGUUUGACUUGUUAAAAGUGUUUUCAAGUAACUUUUGGAACCCCUAUGUACCCUAGUUUGGUUAUAUGUUAUUUCCCUUAAGUUUGAAUGGUUUUGGGAUGUUUUUUGGUGAAAAAUGUUCAUGGAAAUUUUUUGAGUUUUUCAUGAGUGUUCUUCAUUGUUCUUGACAUUUUUGCCAAGAACAAAAAGUUUGGUGUUUUGAUUCAAAGUUUUGAUUUAUUUCAUAAAGUUUUUGUUUUAUGAUUUAUCUUAUAUUUAAAUGUGUUAGAUAUUUAUUUAGAAAGGUGUAAGAAAUAUUGGUGGGUGUGUAAGGAUUAAUUCCCUUUCACACACACCACUUGCAUGACAUUUAUGUCAUGCACCACUUGCAUGACAUUUAUGUCAUGCACCACUUGCAUGCUUUAUGUCAAAGCUUCAAAAAUCAACUCACACACCACCAUCACUCACUUCUCUAAAGCCGGCCACUCCCUCAAUGGGAGUACUUUUGGGGCUUUUAUGCAAUUACAUAAAGUUUUGAUACUUUUGUGUAAUUUGCACUUUGGCCCAAAAGUUUACGUUUUUACGUUUAGGUCCAAAAACGCUAAAGGACAAAUUGUUUUGCUCCUUUAAUGAAGUUUUUGCAUUUUGUUGAAAUUUUUGGGUUCUAAUUGUAAUUACAUGAAGUAGUGGACUUUUGUGUUUUUACAAAGUGACCCCAAAAGUUUAUGUUUUUGCAAUAUAGCCCAAAAGUUGAGGUUAUUGCAUUUUGGCCCAAACUAAGUUGAGAACAAAAUUGUUUUGUCUCUUUAAAUGAGAAUUGGAUUUUCAUUUCAUUUAGCUCCAUUUAAAUCAAUUUUAUGGAUACAAAAACCAAAUGAAAAUGUUGCAUUCAAUUUAAUUAGUUAAAGUGUUAAUUGAUUAAAGGGUGAUUAUGAACCUAAGCCUACGAUAAUUGAGCUAUGUGAAAGGCCGUUCCAAAUUUGUUUGAACCAUGGGAAUGUGUAGAUUAGAUUUUGGUUGUGUAAUUUGAUUUGAUCAAAUGUUGUAAAAAGAGCAUAAGCUCUUCUUUACUUUAAAGUAAUUUGUUUUGAUCAAUUGUUGUAAAAGAGCAUAAGCUCUUCUUUACUUUAAAGUACUCAUUUUCUUGUUUUAUUUGAUAUGCAUGAAAAUGGAGUAGAGGGUCCAACGCCCCUAAGACAACACGCCUUAAUGUGAUUAAACGCGUAACUAAAAUCAAUCACCAUCCCUAGACCGAGAUUCAACACUAGGCUCGUGUUGAAUCUAAACAAAGGUUCAUAGUCAUCCUAAGGCCCUAAGGCAACUAUAUAGUCCAUCAAAUGAAUGCAAAGUUUAUGUUAGUAGUAUCAUAUACUCUUGCUUUAAAAACCGUUUUAUAAGCAUAGUGGGAGUAUUAUAUACAACUAAAUUCAAUCAAAUGGACCAAUAGUUGUAAUAGGACCAAAAUUGUUUUAAUAAAGAUUAAAAUGAAUAUUUAUAUGUGAUGAGACCUAAAAACCCUCAACCAAACCAUUAUUAAGUUGAUAAGCGUGAGAGUGCUUUGAACACUUUUUCGUGGCCUUCCACCGUGGUAGGCUCCAAUCGUUUAUGACUUGUACACCACCUUCACCCUAUCAUGAGGGAGUGCAAAGUGCAUGCUUAUACUCAGGAGGAGUUUAUUUAAAACAUUUGAUGAGGUUAAGGUAGGCAACGAGUGUGGCCAACAUCGUAUCAUCGUGAGGUCAUACUUGAACCCCUAUCUAAACCGGCAUGGUGGGAAAGAACUUAACUAAGUGAAAUGGAUGCCAACAUCGUAUCAUCGUGAGGCAUUGUUUCUAGAGGCCAAAUAAGAUGGGUAAUCACAAGAGGUUGUUGUGAAAUGAGUAAGCGUACUCUCUCAUUAUUAUUAAUGCUAGCCAACAUCAUAUCAUUGUGAGGUGGGCUUGGUAGUAGUGAGUCUCCCAUACCCUACUAAGAGUUUCCUCCAAAACUCUCGAAUUCCAAUGAGGGAUAUGGAAUUUGCCAAAAAUACUGGGUGGUGCUAUUUGAUUUAAAGACCCGGAAUCAAAUGGCUUAAAAUCAAUCAAUUUAUAUUCGUUAUGUAUUUUUUACCAAUAUAUUUGCAAACGCUAUCCAAAACUUGACAAAAAAAGCCGAAUGCUUUAGUUUCCAGGACUUGGUACCACAAUCCCAAAGAUUGUCUUAAAUGGAUUGUAUAUGUACCUAAGUAGUCUAAUCCUCACAAUCUUCCUAUUGAUAAUGUAUCAUUGGAAGAACAUGUUAGAUAAGUCUAUCAUAAAGAGGACAACACUUUUAAUGUCAUAGUUUCUUCACUUACAAAUCGUUGUAUGAAGAAAUAAGAGUUGCUUUGAACAACCCUUAGCUAAUACAAACACUAGUGCUUGUUUCUUUGUUAAAUGAACAAAGAACUUGAGAAGAAAGCACAAAGGCAUGGACACUUUAUGUGCCAUGAUUCUUCACUUACAAAUUGUUGUAUGAAGAAAUGAGAGUUGCCUUGAACAACUCUUGAAAGUUUGUAAUUAUGUUUAGAACAUAAUGGUUGGUUGACAAAAAUAGUCCAUCACAUGGACUUAUGAUGAUUUUGAAUCAUUGAGUGUUGAAGUGUUAAACCACUUCUAGAGACGGAAACUAAGCAAGGACUUCACCUUUGUGUCCCUAUCCAAAUGGUUCACUAAGUUUAUUGUAAACUAUAUAGUGAACAAUAACCACACACUCUCCAAAUCGUUGGAUGUGUAUAACACAAUUGAAAUAAGUUUCAAGAGAGAUAGUGGGAGUUUAGGGACCAUGACUAUUGUAGUCAAAGGAGAAGUCAAAUAAAGAAAGGGAAAUAACUCCAAGGGAACAAACUUUCUUUAUGAAAGGAUGGACAUUGGAAGGGGUAUUUGCAAGAAAUGUCUUGCAAGUGUCAAGAACACACCUUUCGAAUGUGUUGUAAAUUGUUCUUGAAUAGUUCAAAACAGUUGGUUCUUCUACUUGAAUGCUUGAUUCCGUAUUAGUAACUAUGUUUUACAAUCGUUGUAAAAGUGUGACUAAUAAGAAGUAGAAGAUAUAUGAGAGAAGAAAAAGGUGCUUCACAUUUGGAACGUGAAUAAAAUAUAGAUCUCUGCGAAAGCAGAUAGUACUUACUUCCUCAUAUGAACUACCAAAGAAAUUGGAAAAACCAAAGAUUGUCUUUACAUUCCAAUUUUAAGGAACUUAAUUCCGUCACUAUAGUAGAGAUGGAUGAAUGUUUUGUUUGACAAAACAUUGUUCCUUAUUAAUCAAUGAUUGGAUUAUAGUAAUCUAAUUGAUUGUCUCUAUAGUAGAGAUAAUGUGGUAGUGUUAACUGUUUAGAAUAUAAGGAUGCUUAAAACUCAAAAGGUUGCAAGAUAGUGACUAAUCCCAACUGAGUUGUGAUACCUCUAAAAACAUAAAAUACGAGUUGGUCAUAGAUGGAUGCUUUGGAUCGUUAGAUUCGGAUCCAAUACCUUCUUAUUAAAGUUGUAUAGAGGCGAAAUGUUCGAAUCUUUAUUCUUUUGGAAAGAAGAAAGAAUCACAAAGUUGUUGAGGUUAAUUCACUUAGAUGUUAGUGGCACUUGUCCACAACAUAAUACUACUCAUGUUGUUUGACAUUCACCGAAGAUCGCUCUCGGUUGGACUAUAGUUUAUUUUGAAUAACACAAGUUUGAAUACUUUGCAAAAGGUUUCAAAGAAUUCAAGAAAUGUAAGUUGAUGAGUAAGACGUCCAAAGUAUUUGCCUCCUUACAUUUGAUCCAAGGAAAGAUAACACUUUAGAACAGUUUCCUUGAAUAAUAUCAAGGAAAGAAGCAUCAAAAGAUAAUGGAUUUCUCCAUUAGGAGAAGAACGAACUUGAAUAAGAUUUAGUUCGUUGGAUGUUAUCAAUUACCCAUAUAUAGGAUAUAUGCUUCUAAGACAAUAUGAUUGUCAAUUAGAAGAUCUUCCAAAAUUUUCAUGACUCCAUAAGAUGUAGUUGGAAAGAAAGACAAAUCUUAAUCAUGUUAAGAUUUGGGGUUGUGUGCUAAUAAGCAAUAUUUGUUUGAGAAUUAUCUUGUGGGUAUCCUUAAAUUAACAUUUGGAUAUCACUUCUAUAAACCAACUAACAAAUGUUGUUUGUUGGGUAGUUCAUUGUAAUCCUACACAAGGAUUUGCCUAAGAUAGAGCAAUGAACGAGAGAUAGAACUCAAAGAAUGGGUUCUUUGAGAGACAAGAUAAUAAUCAACAAAUAUAACAACCUAGUUCCUAUACCAAAAGCUCCAAGGUAGUCGAGAAGGAUUUAUAAACUGUCUCAGUUGAAUGGUUUGAACUUUAUGACUAUGUCAUAGAGUUGCACCUCUUAAUUCGAAAGAAAUAAGAAUGAAAAUCCUUAUGACUACAUUGAGUGUAUAUAUGAUAUAUACUCAAGGAAAUGGUAAAGUACCAUUUGACCCGAAAUAAUGAAACCUUCAUAAGCUAAUUGGUAACUUAAGGUGACUACAAUCAAAGAGAAUGGUUGACUUUGAUGAAACCAUCUUUGACGUAGUCUUAGUUUCAAUUAAUUCAAAGAUUGCUAGCUACAACUAAAUUAUGAUUCAAUGUUUGGACAUUAUAUGGGUUUUCGAAACCAUUAUUAAGAUAGUCUUGAUAAUAUAUAUGUCUAAAACUAUGAAUCACAAGACAUGUAAGUUGUAGAGAUCCAUCCAUCAUGAAUCUUAGCAAGCUAGUGGGAGCUAUAAGCGUCUUAUGAGAGAAAGAUCAAAUCGUUUGAUUUCUCAUAAAGAUGUGAAUGAAUCUUUUGUUUACUAGGUUUACAAAAGAUUAGUGGGAAUUAAUCAAAUUCCUAAAUUUGAAAUAUAUAUAUGAUAAUAUAUUAUUUUUUGGAAAUGAAAAGAAUACCUCUUCGUUAAAGUUAUGACUUUAAACAUUCUAUAACGAUAGAAUGUAUAUGGGAGAUAUAGUCUAAAUACAUGGGAUAGAAAUCUAUAAUGAUAUAUUUCAAGAUAUAAUUUGAUUAUAUCAAUCCCUAAUAAUAGACAAUAAAUGCUAGGAAGUUUCUCAUAUGAUGAUAAACUUCAAUUAGAAGGACGACUCUAGUGAGACUAGCAAGUUGCCCUUCUCAAAGGGAACGUACCCUUUUGACUCCCAAAGAAAUAAUGCGUAAAUAGAAUCCUUUAUGCAUACGCAGAAAGGUGAUUUAUGUAUUUCAUAUUGUAUGAAAACAUUGAUAUGAGUUGUACCUAGAAAGGUACAAGACGAUAUCAGUGCAAGCCCAGGAUCAGAAUCAUGGCAAUUGUCAAGUGAGUCCUUGAGUAUUUAAGAAAUACUAAAGGAUAGAUUCCUCAAAGAAUGAGGAAGAAUUAGAGUAACGUAAUGGAAGCGUAAAUGUAUUAGAUUAUGAAUCUAAUCCAUCAUUGGAUGUUUCUUCAUUAUGAAUGAAGAAAUAAUCAGAUAUCUCUUUAUUAUGACUAAAGAGAUAUUUGGAUGGAAACAUUAAAAGUAAUGACUUUAGUGUGUUCCAUUAUGAAUGCAAAAUAUAUUGCCAUAUAGAAGCUUACAACAAUGUUGUUUGGAUGGGAAAGUUCAUUUAUGAACUCUCUAUUCGGUUCCAACCAGAAAGUGUAUCUAGUGUACUAACACUACGACACUAAUGGGGCGAUAGCUCAAGCCAGGGAAUUGAUAGGAGCAUAUUUAUGCGACUUAAUUGGCUUGUUCUCGUGCGUUUACGUUGUGUUUCCUUAGUUAUUUUAGCGUUUAAAGUCAUUUUCGUAUGUUUGUAGGUCUUAAUAACAACGUUGGCAAGAAAAGUGCAUUUUGGUGCAUUUUGGAUCAAAAUUGGGCUGAAAUGGAUUGCAUGCAUGAGGAUGGACGUUUUGGGCAUAUGUGUGUGCAAGUGCGUGUGUGCAAAUGCAAGGGUAAACAAUGACAACUCAUACACAUGCAAACUCACGGCAAUGGGAAGGAAUUGUGUUUGUUUUGUGGCUGAAAUGAUGUGUGUGUAAGUGUAACAACUAGGAUGAAACAUGGCAGCACACACAUGCAAAGAGGAGCUGGAAUCAUCUUUCACACAAAUGCAGCAACAACCCCUCAUCAUUACACAACAUUUCUGCCACAAAACACAUGCAAAGACACCCAUAUGCAAAGUGGAAGAAAGGCACGGCAAAGGGGAAGGAAUUGUGCUUGUUUUGUGGUUGAAGUGAUGCAAAGAACAUGUGUGUGUGCAAGUGUAAUAGCUAGGAUGAUAACAUGGCAGCAAACACAUGUCAAAGAAACGAACAUGGCAGCAAACACAUGGAGCACACGGCAUGGGCAGAAAAUGUGUGUGUUUUGUGGUUGAAAUGAUGAAGCAUGUGUGUGUAAAUAAAAAGGGGAAACAUGACAGCUCACACCCACACAAGCUGCACAUGCAAAGGAAAUGGAGUGGUCCUCUCUCAAGCCUAUAAAUACCACCUCCCAUAUUCAUCAACAUAACACAUUUUUGGAUCCUUGUCUUUGCCGUGAGUUUUCCACCACCAUUCUCUCCAAAUUCAGCCAAAAAUCACCCCUAGCCACACUACCCAUCAACCCUAAACCUUUCCAUACCAUUCCCCAUCCAUUCUACACCAUAAAAACCACCCAAACCCUGUCCAAAACCUCUCUGCCGCAGCAAGGAAGAAGAAGGAACUUUGGAUGCACCUGCUGCCAAGUUGGAGUGUUUUAGGUGUUCUCUUUCUUUGAAUUUUAAUGUCUAAUUUUAUGUAUCUUUCCUUUGCAAGUAUAAGGAACUAAACCCCCCUUGGCUAGGGGGGGAUUCAAAACCAUGUUUAUGCUUGCUAUAUGAUUUGAUUACUUCCAAUUAUGUUUCAUGAAUUGUGAAUUUAAUUUACUUAUCUCUAUGAAUUAAAACUAAUUUGUGUAUGUUGGUUGAGAGUGCACGCUUAAUUUUCAUGCAUAAGUUUGAUGCUAGGAUAUAAGGGAGUUUCACCUAAUCGUUAUGAACUUAUAUUCAUAAGUAGUAAAGGUUGUUGAUCACAAUCAUGUUAAGUAAAUUCUUGGCAUAAGUUUCAUGCAAUUCAUAGUAACAAGUGCCUCGCCAAUGCUUAUGGUUUUCAUAGAACUUAAUGAUUCUUGCUUGUAUCUCUAUUAUGCAAUUCAUGUAGGGGACUUGUGAGGAAUGCUUUGGGUUGUCGUAUGCAAUUCAUCCAAUUCAAUAACUUUAGGGAAAAUCUGAGGUUAAUUAGUGCAAUUCACAGUUAAUCUAGGGUGUUGGGAAUUCAUGGUGUGUCGAAGAGCAAUUGGAAAUCAUUUUGUAUGCAAGUAUAACAUGUGUGGAGAAGAACCCCUUAGCUAGCUUCUCAUCCAUUCAAUUUAAUCAAUCUCGUUUUACAAUCUGCUAGUUCUUAAAGUUUUUGUUUAGUUUUAAAUUUCGUCAAGAACCAAUCUCCCAUUUAUUUCAAAGUGUUAGAUUAGUUAGUAAUCACUUUAGUUUGUGUUUUUAAGUGUUUUGAUUCAAGUGGUAAACCAAUUUCGUCCGAAUUUGUGUUUGUGCUCAAAACUGCCCAGAAAGUGUUUUUAAGGCAGUUUUGAGACUUUUGAUUGCUGUUUUGAAUCUUUUUGUUUAUCUUAGUGUUUUAAACUUUAGUUUUGCAUUCUUCGAGUCUAGUUUAGUGUUUCAAACUUUGUUUUUAAGUUUUGAGUCAGUUUUCAAGUGAUUUGGCAAUCCCUCCUAAUCCCCGGCCUAGAACGAUCCCUACUUACAUACUUGCUACAAUUGAUAAAAAGAGGGUUUAAUUUGUGUGCUUAUAGAUUUCGCAUUAGGAAUCAAGGUCUUAUCAAGAUCUGAACUCAUACGAGAGACUGAACCACAUAAUUGAGAAUCAUGUAUAAUGGUGACGUCGUUAUUCUCAAGGUUGCUUCUAUAGAUAACAUAUAGAUAUCCAUUACCUAGGCCUACUACUCAGCCAUUUUUGAAAUGACUACAGAAGAGGUAUCAUCAUUGAUAACCAAGUUGAUUGGCUCUAGUGCAAGUGGGAGAUUGUUGGAAAUGUGCCCUAAAACCAAUCAUAUGAUGAUACUUUACGGACAUUUCACAUGUUAAACUAAUCUAGUUUAAUAUCAAGGGCAAAGAUUAUUGUUUAAGCCAUCUCAUAUAAAUGUUAUAUGCUUAAACGAUAAGUCCAAGGAAUAUGUAAUUAGGAGAAUAUGAUUUAAACAAGUUAGAUUAAUGAGACCAUUUUCUCGUAUACAUAUCCUAAACGUUCCUGAUCAUAGGAUUGCUAAUUGGGCAUUGACAGUCCGUUAAGAUCAGUACGUGAUGUGUCUUCUCUCAGGGAGAGUGACUAGUCUCUAGUCAUUGGUGUGUGUGACAUCAAGACAAGCAUGUAGGUGCUCAAUAGCGAAUGAGUCCACUGAACACGAUCAACGAGGAGUUCUCAUACUCAUGUCACAUGAGAACUCAUGGUUGGGAUAAUGCAAAGUAGUCCUUUGACCUGAGGCAUCAUAGUUGUCUUGUGGUUAAGUCCUUGAUCUUUGAUUGUGUCAAAGUCACUCCAUUCGAGGGGUGUCCACGGCAUCGUUGGGGUUAAGCCACUUAGCCAUGGAGGCAAGUGAAUGCGCAACAAGGGAUCUCUAACCUUCAAACCGUUUGAGGGAGAAUACUCUAUGAUAUGAUUAAGAAUCUCUGGCCAAAGUAUGAAUGAGAUUUAGGAAGUCGUUCCAAAUCACAUUCAAGGUAAUCAUAUAAGCACACGAAUCACAUUGGAUAGUCGACAUGAAUAAACUAAACUAUCAAACCAAACAAUGUGGUCAAGAGUAUUGUAUUAGAGAAAGACCGUAUUGCAUUUGUAAUCCUAAACUGAAUAGGUUCUCCACCUCUUCUGAUUAGCUUGGGUAACCAUGAUAUGCUGCUAGGUGUCACUCAUGGUUUGUGGAAGCCCUAAAUGUGUAGAAACACUGAAGGGAGAAUUGAAAGUAAGUUUCAAUUCACAAUCGAUUUGAAAGAGUUUUAAUCGCCCACUGCCUCGCUAAAAGGGAACCUAAUGGAUCGUACACCGUGUAAGGUAGAGAUUGAAGAAACAACGGAGAUGAGUAAGAAUAAUUAAAUGGUUUAAUUAUUUAUGGCAAGGAUUAAUUAAUAUGUUAAUUAAUCAAACGAAUAAGUUCGUUAAAGACCUCGGGAUAGUUUUGGACCUUAAGGCCCAAUGGGCUUCGAACGUCAAGUCCAUUGACUGCCCAAUAGUCCAAUGAAUCCCUAUGGCCGGCCAUUUAGAGAUGGAGUGGGUUUUUGGACUUAUUUACAAGCUUGCCACUCCAAUGAAUUAAGGUAUAAAUAUGACUUUAUAGCCAAAAUUCAUUUAGGGUUUCUUUUUGGGAAAGGAUGAGAACACAAAGCUCUCAUUUCUCUCUAAAGAGGCCGGCCACCCUAGAGGAGAUUAGCUAGCAAUCCAACUUCCUCUAGGUCACUCAUUUCUACUUAAAUCUAACCUUGGUGUGGAGACUUAGAGGUUCUCUAUUUUGAGAACUUGGAGAAACAUAUUCUUCCAUCCAAAUCCAUAGAUCUAAGAAGCAAGGAAUGAAGGCCCUCUCUUUGGGUGAUUAGCCUUUGCUUAUGCAAAGAGGAAUCUACAAAAGGUAUAAAUCUCAACUCACUUUGUUUUGAGUUGAGUCUUGGUUCACCAAUCUACUAGGCUUUGAAUUUCAUGGUUAAUGUUUUGUUUUAAGUGCAUACAAGCAUGAUUCCACCUUUUAAUUGUUAAUUGCAUGCUAUAGAUGUUGCUUAAAUGAACAUGUUUCACAAAAUUAUCCUUCAGUUUAUGCUCUUUACAACAUUUCAAUAAAACAAAUUACUUUAAAGUAAAGAAAAGCUUAUGCUCUUUUACAACAUUUGAUCAAAUGAAAUUACAACCAAAAUCUAAUCUACACAUUCCCAUGGUUCAAACAAAUUUGAGACGGCCUUUCACAUAGCUCAAUUAUAAUAGGCUUAGGUUCAUAAUCACCCUUUCUUUAAUUAAUUAACGCUUUAACUAAUUAAACUUUGAAUGCAACAUGGUCAUUUGGUUUUUGUAUCCAUAAAAUUGAUUUAAAUGGUGCUAAAUGAAAUGAAAAUCCAAUUCUCAUUUAAAGAGACAAAACCAUUUUGUUCUCAACCUAAUUUGGGCCAAAAUGCAAUAAUCUCAACUUUUUGGGCUAUGUUGCAAAACUUAAACUUUUGAGCUUAUUUUGCAAAAACACAAAAGUUCAUUACUUCAUGUAAUUACAACUAAAACCCAAAAAUUUCAAUAAAUUCAAAAACUUCAUUAAAGGAACAAAACAAUUUGUCCUUUAGUGAUUUUGUGCCUUUACGUAAAAAACGUAAACUUUUGGGCCAAAGUGCAAAUACACAAAAGUACCAAAACUUUAUGUAAUUGCAUAAAAGCCCCAAAAGCACCCCACUUGUAGGGUGGCCGGUUUUAGAGAGAGUGAGGAAUGCAAAAUUUUGAAAUUUUUUCACAAAGUCAUAAAGCCAUGCAAGUGGUGUGUGUGACAUAAAUUCAUGCAAGUGGUGUGUGUGCAAGAGAAGUACUUGUUACACACCCAUCACCAUUUCUAUCACCUUUCAAAAUUUCAAUCACAUUAAAACAUUUGAUAAAGCACAAAACAAAGACUUUAUGAAAUAAAUCAAAACACCAAACUUUUUGUUCUUGGUUAAAAUGUCAAGAACAAUGAAGAACAUUCAUGAAAAACCCAUAAAAGCUUCAUGAACAUUUUUCAUCCAAAGACAUCCCAAAAAACACUCAAACUUAAGGGAAAUAACAUAUAACCAAACUAGGGUACAUAGGGGUUCCAAA
rnacentral:lncRNA from 1 species